AGAGUUUGAUCAUGGCUCAGAACGAACGCUGGCGGCGUGCCUAACACAUGCAAGUCGAACGAGAUCUUCGGAUCGAGUGGCGGACGGGUGAGUAAGACAUAGGCAACCUGCCCAUCAAUGGGGGAUACCCAGCCGAAAGGUUGGCUAAUACCGCAUACGCUCAUCAUCUGGGAUGGUGGUGAGGAAAGAUUUAUCGUUGA
rnacentral:rRNA from 1 species